CGCGCCACCCAGCGGCCGCGUCCGCGCGGCGCACGCUCGCGUCCGGCGAACAUUCUGCCGCAGUCCCGGCCGCCGUCUGCCUCGGAAAUUCCCAGAAUCGGACUAGAGCUCCCCUCCCAGUGGGUCAACUCCUUUUAGAUGAGCUUCCCCUUCCGAGACUGAGGAGCCUUACCUGCCAUGCCUUGGAUCCUCAGCUUUUCAGUGACCAAGGACAAGUUGGACAAGUUGGAUGUGGGAGGAAGGGCCCCAAGCACGAGACUGCCACUGCUCCAGAGAUGGCUUGCUGUACCUCCUCUCCCUGAUGUUCCUCAACCCCCUCCGAAAGGUUCCGCCAGCCACACAUCUGAGAACCUAGAAAACAGGAUCCUCAGACUGGCAAGAUCCCUUCAUGUCUCUGUGUGCAAGGAGCUGAACUUCAUGGUCCUUGAGUUCGUUGAACAAGGUCAUGCAAACUGCAAGACUGGAAGCAGUGCCAGGUGCAUGGCUGGGGCUCAGUGUGUGAUGGCUCCCUUGGACUGCACGGCUGAGCCUCCAGCAGGGGUGGAGUCCCUUGGCUGCUACUGCUGGGCUUUCUGACCAUGCCUCCUCUGUCCUGAGCCUGUUUGUUUCUCACUCGAUCCGAUUCCCUGGGGAACACGCAAUGGAACUGCCCUUCACAGAUGCCCUGUGUGUGAGUGUGCCACUUUCCUCUUUAAAGAUUAAAUCGCUUUUCCCCCUUUCUGUUCAACAAAGACAACAGCACUUUGGUUUCUGAUAACCGCUCUUUUCCUGCUAGCAGGUGGAUUUGCCCCGGGCACUAAGAGCUGUGCUUUUAAAACACACAAGCCAGCUGUUUGAAUCUGCUACUUGAGUCUGUCUGUAUUUCUCCUCUCUCCUGCCCCCAGGGCUGGGUUUUCUCUGCCUUGGCAGGCUGAUAACAUGUGGAGGGAAGAGAACUGUUCUAAUUAAUAGACUAAUUAGUGAUACAAGCCUUUAAUAGCUGAUUAUAGGAAAGUCAUUGCCCACCCCCAAGUGAUUGAUUUAUUUAUUGCUGUUGUGCUGCGUGAUGGAAAAUAGUCGACUUCUAAUUACCUGGUCCUGCCUUCUUAUUCUCUUGCACCAGUGGUGGGCACCAGCACAACAGAAGUCAGCCAGUUGAGGAGCUGC